UCAGCUAUCUACAACCUAUUCUGAGCUUGAAAUGGGUGGAAAUGAGGGUGGUGAGAUUAUAUAAUCCCAGUGAGUAAACAAACACCAUCCAAAAUAUCUAAAGUCGAGUAAAUGGAGACGAUUACAAUAUUCCAUCUUAAUAUGUAAUUCAUAACAUAAAUAUUCAUUUCAUUUAAAUAAUCAACAUGGCUUAUGAGUAUCUUAAAAGCUUGGCUCUUGCCAAAAUCAUUCUCGAGAAUACCUUGGCCGAGGUAUCUAAUCGAGUCUGCCAAGGCUGUUAAAAAUUUCGUAUACACGUAAACAUACUUUUAGUUUGAAAAACACAGCCGUUCCUUGGCGUUAGCGGAGUUCAUCAUCACGAGGUGGUUCGGCGUGACGUGAACUCUAACCAUACCUCAGGAGAUACCCUACGUGCCUCUCCGACUGAGGUACGUAUAUAAUCAGAUUUUGUGCCCCUCUAAUAGGUUGGUCCACAGAACCCGCCCACUGCAACAAGCUAAACCCACCAUACAAUAAAAAUUUAACAGCAUGACAUGGCAAUUUUAUCAUUAUCCAGCCUAUCAAGGUAAACAACAGUUUAUACAUUUUCAACACAAAUACCAUUUCAGCCAUUCAUGCCAAUAUUGCCAUAAGCCAAUCAAUUAGAACCAUAAAUUCACAAUACAUCAAAUGGUCUCCAAUUACUCUAUUUUCAAAGCCAUCAUUCAAUUUCAAGACAAUUUAUAAAAUCAUUUCAUUUAAAUACAUUUUGUUUAUAAAACCUAAAAAUUAACCAUCUAAACUCAUUUUCCAUAACAUUCACAAAAUCGAAUAAAAAGACCACUUUAGAUAAUUAAAAUGAUGAUAAGGUUACUCACUAUUUCGGGAGUCAAAUUUUUAUAGUACUCCGACUAUCGAUCCUCCAGUACAAUUUCUUUGCCCUUAUCGAAGGAUUCACCACCUAAACAUAAUGUACAAUCAAGCAAUUUACCACAUUGGUGCUAAACCGUUAUAAAACUAUAUGGAUGCAUGAAAUGGAAUGCAAAUUGUUCGGAUUAUCAUCUAAACACGGUGUUCUACACAAAUUCAAUUGUGUACCUAAAUAAAACGGUAUUGGCCUAAUUCGAUCUAUCACUCGAUUAAUUGGCCAAUAUGCCCAAUUCAACUCCAAUUAACUCCAUUUUUCUUCCAAUUCUCCAAACCAUCAAACACAAGUCAAAUAGCAUAAAAUUUAGUAAAAUCAUCUUCACAUUUUCUCUUGGAAAUUUCGGCCAUGGUGGGUGCAUCAACACUAUGAUUUUUCCUACUUGAUUUUCUCACCAUAAUUCAUCAUUUCCUAACCAAUUCACUUGAAAUAAAAUCAAAUCCACCAUCCACACUCUACAUGGAAAAUUCGGCCAAUGAUGGGUAAUGGGAGGAAGUGAAUUUUUCUUGUUGGCUUUUCAUGCUACACAUCACUAACUAUCUAAAAACACUAAAAUACAUUGAAAUAUAAUCAAAUCAAGCAUCAAACCCUCCCUCUAAGUGUUCGGCCAGCAAGGGAUUCAUCAUGAAAUCAUGUGAUUCAACCAUGGAAAAUGCAAAAGAAUGUAUGGGAAAGGUAGAUCACAAGUCAAAAUCAAGAAAUUUUACCUUUAAUUGCUUGAUUAUUGAAAUCCACCAAUUUUCUCUUGAAUUUUCACUCUAGGGUUUUUGUUCUUUCUUUUCUUCCUUUGUUCUUG
rnacentral:lncRNA from 1 species